rnacentral:rRNA from 1 species
CACGUAGGGCGCAAGCGUUGUCCGGAAUUAUUGGGCGUAAAGAGCUCGUAGGCGGUCUGUUACGUCUGCUGUGAAAACCCGGGGCUUAACCCUGGGCUUGCAGUGGAUACGGGCAGACUAGAGGCAGGUAGGGGAGAAUGGAAUUCCCGGUGUAGCGGUGAAAUGCGUAGAUAUCUGGAGGAACACCGGUGGCGAAGGCGGCGUCCUGGACCAACACUGACACUGAGGAGCGAAAGCCAGGGGAGCAAACGGG